AGUUCUGCCAGUGGAACAUUCAUGCGCAUAUUCAAAGGGCCAGCUGGGUCAGGUACUGAUGAGUGGCAUUUCCCCCAGGCAAUAGCAUUUGCUGCAUCUGGAAUCAGAAGUACAGCUGUUGUUUCCAUCACAAUAGAUAAAGAAAUCAUCACUGGUGGGCAUGUGGAUAAUAGUAUAAAGCUAGUGUCAUCAGAUGGAGCCAAAACCUUAGAAACAGCCAUUGGGCACUGUGCUCCUGUCACUUGCAUUGCUCUUUCCCCAGAUAGCAACUAUCUUGUCACAGGAUCACGGGACACUACUGUAUUACUCUGGAAGAUACAUAGGGCAUUUACAUCACAUUCGAGCAGUAUGUCAGAACCUUCCUCAGGUGCAGGCACUCCAACUUCAACCAGUAGUACUGCAGCAAAUGUCUUUGCAGACAAAAGCAGGAGGCAUCGUAUUGAGGGUCCAAUACAUGUCCUUCGGGGUCACCACAGAGAAAUACUAUGUUGUUGUGUCAGUUCAGAUCUUGGGAUUGUUGUUUCCNUCAUCUGAUGUUCUAUUGCAUUCUGUGAGAAGCGGUCGCUUGAUCAGAAGACUGGUUGAUAUUGAGGCCCAUGCUGUUAGCCUUUCAUCUGAGGGGGUUGUGUUGACUUGGAACAAAUCUCAACAUACUCUAUGUACCUUUACUCUUAAUGGGGUACCAAUUGCUAGAGCGCAACUUCCUUUCUCUAGCAUUGUCAGUUGCAUAGAAAUUUCUGUUGAUGGGAAGAGUGCUUUGAUUGGAAUGAACACGUGUAACUGUAAUAAUAAUUUCAGUAUAAAGAAACCAGGAGCUGAGGAUUUUGAACUGGAAUCCGAGAAAACUGGGGAGGAGAACAGAUUGGAUGUGCCUAGCCCCUCAGUAUGUUUCUUGGAUCUGCUUACGCUGAAGGUAUUUCAUGUAUUGAAGCUUGAAGAAGGCCAAGAUAUAACAGCUCUGGCUUUAAACAAUGAUAACACAAAUCUGUUGGUGUCAACUGCAGAUAAGCAGUUGAUAAUCUUCACUGAUCCAGCUUUGAGCUUGAAAGUGGUAUAUCAGAUGCUCAAGCUUGGUUGGGAAGGAGAAGGGCUGAGCCCCCUUAUAAAGUCAUAGGUUUAGGCCACUGAGUUUUGAUUAGUUGAAUAAGGAUUACAGAAGAUACGCAAAUACUACUAGGAUACCACUAGAAUGUAUACAAUGGAAUGGGUUGCUCCAGUGCAGAUACCAAGUCAAUUGCUGAACUGGCAGUGUAACAUAUGUAUUUGAAGUGCCUUGUUUCCACACGGCAUUUCUACGGUUUUUUUUUAUUCGAUUGAGUUGUAGUUU
rnacentral:misc_RNA from 1 species